ACCCGCGCAAAACCCCUUCGACGAGUCGAGUUGUUUGGGAAUGCAGCUCARAAUGGGUGGUAAAUUUCAUCUMAAGCUAAAUACCGGCUGGAGACCGAUAGCGRACAAGUAGAGUGAUCGAAAGAUGAAAAGCACUUUGGAAAGAGAGUUAAAAAGCACGUGAAAUUGUUGAAAGGGAAAGCGCUUGCGACCAGACCUGCCCGGGGGUGAUCAGCCGCCGUUCUCGGUGGUGCACUCGCCCGCGAUCAGGCCAGCAUCGGUUUGGGCGGUCGGACAAAGGCCGUGGGAACGUAGCUCCUUUCGGGGAGUCUUAUAGCCCGCGGCGCAAUGCGGCCAGCCCGGACCGAGGACCGCGCUUCGGCAAGGAUGCUGGCGUAAUGGUUGCAAGCGACCCGUCUUGAAACACGGACCAAGGAGUCUAACAUCUAUGCAAGUGUUUGGGUGUCAAACCCAUGCGCGCAAUGAAAGUGAACGGAGGUGAGAACCCGUCAGGGCGCAUCAUCGACCGAUCCUGAUGUCUUCGGAUGGAUUUGAGUACGAGCAUAGCUGUUGGGACCCGAAAGAUGGUGAACUAUGCCUGAAUAGGGUGAAGCCAGAGGAAACUCUGGUGGAGGCUCGCAGCGGUUCUGACGUGCAAAUCGAUCGUCAAAUUUGGGUAUAGGGGCGAAAGACUAAUCGAACCAUCUAGUAGCUGGUUC
rnacentral:rRNA from 1 species